GUCAACUACCCACCGUCUAAAGACGGGGGCUUGCAAAAGCCUUAGUUGACUACCCUCAGCCGAUUGAAGAAACGGGCUUCCGCCUCUUAAGGAAGAAGAAACGGGCUCACGCCUCUAAAGGAAGAUCAUCGGGCUACGUUAUAUAGGUCAUAACACCUUCGGAUGUUUCUCCUAGUCUGUCGCUCUGUUGUUUAGCUUUAAACAAUCCUGAGGGGUAGGGAUAGUGAGCUAAACGUAAAAAGCCUAUAUAACAUUGGGGAAGGAGAAUAACU
ncrna:Petrotoga mobilis SJ95 HNH endonuclease-associated RNA and ORF (HEARO) RNA